rnacentral:misc_RNA from 1 species
GGAAGUAAAAGUCGUAAUAAGGUUUCCGUAGGUGAACCUGCGGAAGGAUCAUUAUUGUAUAACCGAGGUGCGAGGGCUGUCGCUGACCCGAAAGGUCGUGCACGCCCGAGUGCCCUCACACACAUCCAUCUCACCCCUAUGUGCACCACCGCGUGGGUCCCCCUUUGGCUUGUUCGGAGGGGGGCUUACGUUUUCACACAAACUUUGUAUGCAGUGUAGAGUGUAUUUUUUGUUUUUGCGAUCACGCAAUCAAUACAACUUUCAACAACGGAUCUCUUGGCUCUG